UACGUAGGGUGCAAGCGUUGUCCGGAAUUAUUGGUCGUAAAGAGCUCGUAGGCGGUCUGUCGCGUCGGAUGUGAAAAUCCAGGGCUCAACCCUGGACCUGCAUUCGAUACGGGCAGACUAGAGUUCGGUAGGGGAGACUGGAAUUCCUGGUGUAGCGGUGAAAUGCGCAGAUAUCAGGAGGAACACCGGUGGCGAAGGCGGGUCUCUGGGCCGAAACUGACGCUGAGGAGCGAAAGCGUGGGGAGCAAACAGG
rnacentral:rRNA from 1 species